GCGGUCGUGGCGGAAUGGCAGACGCGCUAGGUUGAGGGCCUAGUGGGGGUUAACCCCGUGGAAGUUCGAGUCUUCUCGACCGCACCA
rnacentral:tRNA from 1 species